GACGAACGCUGGCGGCGUGCUUAACACAUGCAAGUCGAACGGGAAGGCCCUGCUUUUGUGGGGUGCUCGAGUGGCGAACGGGUGAGUAACACGUGAGUAACCUGCCCUUGACUUUGGGAUAACUUCAGGAAACUGGGGCUAAUACCGGAUAGGAGCUCCUGCUGCAUGGUGGGGGUUGGAAAGUUUCGGCGGUUGGGGAUGGACUCGCGGCUUAUCAGCUUGUUGGUGGGGUAGUGGCUUACCAAGGCUUUGACGGGUGGCCGGCCUGAGAGGGUGACCGGCCACAUUGGGACUGAGAUACGGCCCAGCCUCCUACGGGAGGCAGCAGUGGGGAAUAUUGCACUAUGGGCGGAAGCCUGAUGCAGCAACGCCGCGUGCGGGAUGACGGCCUUCGGGUUGUAAACCGCUUUCGCCUGUGACGAAGCGUGAGUGACGGUAAUGGGUAAAGAAGCACCGGCUAACUACGUG
rnacentral:rRNA from 1 species